CAGGAAUUUGACAACAAAACAAAACAAAGCGAGAUAUGUCGAGCCAACAAAGAAGGCGCAGUUGGAAAAUUGAGUAAUUAGUAAUGAAGUAGCAGGCAUAUUUGGAAAAUUAUGCCGAUAAGCAGGAUGGAAUUUGGG